CAACUUGAAAGUUGAAACUCAUUCUCUCCUCCAUUCUCAGACGAUGAUGUUCACUCCUUCAUUCUCCUCUUCUCCCCAUCGUCUCGUGCCUAGAAGCCCAUUAAAGCUUCUGAACCCUAACCCCAUCAUCUCCCUGAUUUUUCAUCAAAGCUAACGCUAAUUUUCUCAAGCACCGCUGCAGAUAACAGUGCAUCUAUGACUUGUUUGAUUCAAAUCUGAGAGAGAGAGGAUGAGAUCGAGAAAAGGGAGAUGGUGCUUCACAAGAGAAAUGAUGAGAUUAAGAAGAGGGAGUUGGCUAUCCACUAUGAUCAAAUCGAUCUUCUGAUGAAACAAGUAGAAGUGCAGCGUUCACGCACACUACUUCAUGUGUAUUGGGGAUUUGCCAUAGUUAUUUCAUGUUAUUUAAUAGGAUCUAAGUGAAUUCCCAAUGUUGGUUUGCUUUUGUAAAUAAAACUCUACCAACCGGACAGGUUAUGUAAUGGAUGGGUAAGGUUAUCGAAAGAAACUGUUAGGUUAUGUAAGUUGUGUUGUUUGCUGGUUGAAAUCUAAUGGAAAUUUAUUUUAAAAAUAA